GGCAUGGAGAGGCAGGAGUGGCUCCACUGUCACUAUGAGACAAGGAUGUCCUUUUUACCACUGAGCUUGUUCUAAGUUUCCUCUGGACCUCCUCUGUUGAUAAGCUAGUGGGGACUUGAGGAGUGAGGCUGGAAGUCCAGCCUCCCUGCCAACACCUCAGGGAUGAAGGAGAAAAACAAGGAGAGAAAAAUCUAAACCCAGCAGAAGAGAAAGUUUAAGAAAGCGGUCGUCGCCAAUACCAAAAUUAGCUAUGAUAUUCAGGAAGAAAAAAAUGGAAACACGAUAACCACAGUCAAUAAAGACCAAGGCCACAUUCCAUUGACCAGAGCUCAGCCACGCGCCACACCUGGCUAAAGAGACUCUGGCUGAAGAAUUCCCUGAAUAUUUUAAUGUAGCUCUAGGUUAUAACACAGAACAACCACAAGGUGGCAGAAGAACUCCAUUCUUGUAAAUCUCUUAGUUGCUUCUUUAUUUCAUCUUCCCUAUUCCAUCUAAUGUUCCCUGAAUUUUACUAUUUUGUUGGUUUGAAAAUAUGUGUGACUUACGUCCUUUAAAGGAUUUGGUUCGUAAGGUUUUGAAUAGACUGGAAUAUAAAACAUUUAUAGAAAAGAAAAAUACCUACAGUAUGAUGUUAGUGAACUAUUAAUAAUCCAAUUAAAUAAAAUAUAUUUGCUUUGGAUUAAUA
rnacentral:lncRNA from 1 species